CCAAUAGCGUACAUUAAAGUUGUUGCAGUUAAAAAGCUCGUAGUUGAAUUUCGGGAUUGGCGCAUCGGUCGUGCCUCACGGGGUAUGAACUGGUGCAGUCAAUUUCUCACCUUCUGGAGAACCGCGAUGUCCUUAAUUGGAUGCCGCGGGGAACCAGGACCUUUACUUUGAAAAAAUUAGAGUGGUUAAAGCAGGCAUUUUUGCUUGAAUACAUUAGCAUGGAAUAAUAAAAUAGGACGGCAUGGUUCUAUUUUGUUGGUUUCUAGGACCACCGUAAUGAUUAAUAGGGAUAGUUGGGGGCAUUAGUAUUCAAUUGUCAGAGGUGAAAUUCUUGGAUUUAUUGAAGACUAACUACUGCGAAAGCAUUUGCCAAGGAUGUUUUCAUUAAUCAAGAACGAAAGUUAGGGGAUCGAAGACGAUCAGAUAUCGUCGUAGUCUUAACCAUAAACUAUGCCGACUAGGAAUCAGACGAUGUUAAUUUUUUAAUGACUCGUUUGGCACCUUAC
rnacentral:rRNA from 1 species